rnacentral:rRNA from 1 species
AUUGAACGCUGGCGGCAGGCCUAACACAUGCAAGUCGAGCGAGCGGCGGACGGGUGAGUAAUGUCUGGGAACCUGCCUGAUGUAGGGGGAUAACUACUGGAAACGGUAGCUCAUACCGCAUACCCUCAGAUUUGCCCCGAUGGGAUUAGCUAGUAGGUGGGGUAACGGCUCACCUAGGCGACGAUCCCUAGCUGGUCUGAGAGGAGGACCAGCCAAACUGGAACUGAGAAACGGUCCAGACUCCUACGGGAGGCAGAAGUGGGGAAUAUUGCACAAUGGGCGAAAGCCUGAUGCAGCAAUGCCGCGUGUAUGAAGAAGGCCUUCGGGUUGUAAAGUACGUUCAGCGGGGAGGCGUUACCCGCAGAAGAAGCAACGGCUAACUCCGUGCCAGCAGCCGCGGUAAUAC